rnacentral:rRNA from 1 species
GGCUCAGGAUGAACGCUAGCGACAGGCCUAACACAUGCAAGUCGAGGGGCAGCGAAGAGGUAGCAAUACCUUUGUCGGCGACCGGCGCACGGGUGAGUAACACGUAUGCAAUCCACCUGUAACAGGGGGAUAACCCGGAGAAAUCCGGACUAAUACCCCAUAAUAUGGGCGCUCCGCAUGGAGAGUCCAUUAAAGAGAGCAAUCUUGGUUACAGACGAGCAUGCGCUCCAUUAGCCAGUUGGCGGGGUAACGGCCCACCAAGGCGACGAUGGAUAGGGGUUCUGAGAGGAAGGUCCCCCACAUUGGAACUGAGACACGGUCCAAACUCCUACGGGAGGCAGCAGUGAGGAAUAUUGGUCAAUGGUCGGCAGACUGAACCAGCCAAGUCGCGUGAGGGAAGACGGCCCUACGGGUUGUAAACCUCUUUUGUCGGAGAGUAAAGUACGCUACGUGUAGUGUAUUGCAAGUAUCCGAAGAAAAAGCAUCGGCUAACUCCGUG